AGUCGUAACAAGGUAUCCGUAGGUGAACCUGCGGAUGGAUCAUUAACACAUUUACACAUCCACAAAAACCAAACCCACGCGUAGAUUGUUGAAGUACUUUUUUUCCGAAACCACCUUUUGAACAAAAACGCUUACACAAAAACGAACUCGCCUUUUUAAGACGACAGUCACGCGGUGUUUUUUCCCCGUGUGGGAGCGAAAACGCGUGUGAUUGCAUUCUUAUACAGAAAAAGUGCGAGUUCGAUCGUUUAAACAUAAAAAACAACUUUUAACAAUGGAUAUCUUGGCUCCAA
rnacentral:misc_RNA from 1 species